GCGGGGGGGUGCUCCGCGAAUGAGAUGGUUCCAGCAGGUUCUGCGUGGACACGCCUCGUGGGGCCACUACACCGUGUAAUCACCAGGCACCAGUUUAAAACAAAAGACCAAGGGAGGGAGGGAAGGCCAGGCAGCCUGCCUGGGUGCAGUUGGCAGCGGGGCCACUUGUGGUGACAGCAGGCUCAGAUGAGAACUGAGAGCAGUCGUCAGCACUUCCCACCCGCCUUGCCUUCCCGUAAAGGGCCACGGAGAGCUGUGUUCUCAUUGUUUCCAUGCCGCGCUCUGCCCCGGGGCAUGUGUCACAGCCCUGGCUGAGCUGUGCCCACCGCCCAUGCUUGUGCUUCGGGUCUUCCCUGUGCACCCACAGAGGCUGCCGCUUCAGGGGUCCUGUGGAGCUGGUCUCGGGCUCCUCAUCCAGUCCUGGGUUCUUGGGAGCAAGGUGGGGCUGACCCCAGAGGGUGGUCCCCAGAGCAACAGAGAGAUGGCCCCAGGCUCCUGGACCCGGCUCCCAGUGCCCUGCACCUGCCUCUCCUGUGCCCUAGUCCUCAAGUCCCACCUUGAGGCCCUUCAUGAAGGACGCUGUCUCAGUCCCUCCUGGGAGCCUGAGGUCCUGCCCUUUAGGGUCCAGGGGACAACCAAGUCUCUAGGCAGGAGAACCUGCAGAGGCCUGAAGGCCCUCCCUGGGGCAGCAGGAGACAGAGCGGGUGACCUGGAACCUCCAAGGCACUUGGGGGCUCUCAGGAUGUGAGGUGGGUGGGCCCUGGGGGUCUCAGCUGUGGGGAGCCACUCUGAAUGACCCCUGCCUUCCAGUUCUGAAGCAGGAGACUCUGACCAGUCACUCCAUUUUGUGGUGACUUGGACAUUGUCCCAGCUCAGGAAGUGAAAGGUGUGUCUUCAGAUGUAAGUAUCACCCCUGGGGUUGAAUCACACUCCCCUGUCCCUCAUAACCCUGCCCCUUUGCCUUUUUUGGAUAGAACUUUCUAAGAACAAGGGUCCCCACAAUUAAAGCCCACCUCCAAACAUGCUUGCUCUCUCUUGCCAGCCUCUCGUGACUUUCUCUUGCUCUCCCAUUUGGGGGGCUGAGAAGCUUGUUUUAAGGUAAAGUGUGUCUGUGUUUUAUUUGGUGUCCCUGGAAAUUCACACGAACGACCUUAAGUUCAACUGCCCACACGGGUCAGGGGCAGCACUUAGCUCCAGGGGUCAGUGAUCCAAUGUGGGUGGACCCUUCCACCAUUUGCACCCAGAGUUUCUGGAAGUUCGAGGUGUGGCGGGUGCUCCAGGGGCAGUUGAGGCCCCGCAGCCCCUUGGUUGUGAACAGUGGUUCAUGCCUGCACCCGCUGACCCAGUCGGGCUGCCCACUCACUGGUGGGGAAUCCUGUGCCGUCAUUCUCACAACACCCAGCCCAGAGGCAAGGCUGGAAGGGCUGCAGCCCAGGAACAGGGGUGUCAUCAUCACCACCAUAUGUCACACAGCAGGGUCACUUCUAAUUCUUAUGCUUUACUGCAAUCUAAUUUCAAAAACCAGUGGUUGCCUAGUAGAAUAUCCUUCAGACAAAGAAAGAAUGAGGUUCCCAGGUGCUUAGCAGUGCCAUUCCCCGAAGUCAGGUGGCAGAGGUGACCCCACAUCCACCGACAGGUGAAGGAGUGCCUCCCUGCCUGGGGUGGGCUCAGUCUCAGGAAGGAGGGAAAUCAAGAGCUACAGCACGGAGGAGGCUUGAAGGGACCAGUGCCCUGCAAUAAGGCAGCACGGGAACCUGGUCCAGAGCUCCUGGGCCCUCCCUCCUCCCUCCCUCCUCCCUCCUCAGAGGCCCUGGGCAACUAGGGAGAGCAACCCACCUGCACCAGGAGGCUGCCUGCUUCCCUCAAAGCCUGCUGACUUAGACCUGUGUGACCACACAUCUGGGCACCAUGUGCAGGGACCUGAGGGCCAGGACAGUGAGUGGACCCAGCUCUGACCAGGGUGCACAGGGUCUCCAGGGCGGAUGUCCUGAGCCCAGGUCCCGUGGCUGGUCACGUUUGCACAAGUCUGUAUCCCGCAGAUUGUAUGAAUAUGGACGUCUUUCUUCUUUAUCUUACUAGUAGAGUUUUUGUUAUACUCUUAAAUUGAUGAAUUUCACUUCUAAAAAUAGUUUGAGGUUUGCAGGAAAAGUGGGCAGGAGCUGUAGUCCCUGGGCUGCCCCUCACCUGCAGCAACGCCCCCUCUAGGGCUGACAACAUGCUCCAGCGUGGCUUGUCCAUGGUCCUUGACAGAUGCACAGCCCAGUGUCCUGAGCAUCCUCUGGGACCCAGCUUGCUACCCAGACCGUGCCCCCACGGUGACCACAGUACCUUUGUCAUGUGUCACAGCAGCCUUGCAGGUGACUUUCUUCCCUUGAAAUGUGCAUUUAAAUUCCCUCCGUGUCUUUGCCGGUGCCUUCUCUUCAGGGCUGGAUGGUGCUCUGCGGCCUGAGGGCCGCGGCCCGUGCUCCUCUCCACCCACCGACCACGGGGCCUGGGCAGCUGCCCAGCUGUCAGCAGGCAGGUGCAGGGGCUUGGGUGAACAGGAGGAGCACAAUCGCUGGUCUUGAGGCAAGUGUGUUUCGAUGUUAACAAGCACCCCACGGCCUCCCAGAGCCCUGCUGCACGCUCCAUGUGGCUCUGGGUUCGGCCGUGGGGGCUGUGGUGUCUCCUUGCUGUGCUGAUUUCAGGUUCCUGGUGGCAGGAAGGGGGCCGGCCAGCUGCCUGCAGCCUGUCCUCUUUGGAAAGGUCUGUGAGCAUCUUUUUUCCCCAUUUUUAAAUCAAUUGUCUGUUUUCUUCACUGAGCUUUUAGGUUCUCUGGAGUUACGUGUGUUUUCUUCCUUUUCUCAUGAGCCUUAAGGGCCCGCCGUGCAGCCCCAGCUGUGGGCCCCUUCCUGUGGUGCACACUUCUCCGUCCUUCCUACCUUUCCUCCAUAACUCUCAGUAACCACAGGCUCCCUUCUCUCCAACAUGUGCAUGCUAAGGCUACACAUUCCCCCGGCUUGGCUUCAUCCCACAAGUUGGCUUUAUGUUCACAUAACUAAUUUAAAUAUGGUUUCUACUUUCCACAGUAGCUUCUUCUCUUCUCUCAUUUUUUAUCAGAGCAUCACCGUCACAGAUGAUGGUGGGAUGUGUUGUUCCUGUCCACACCUGCUCACAAUACGACCCAACUUGGCCAGUAUCACCGCCCUUUGGUUCCUUUCCUCUACUGAUCUCCUUAUGAUUUUUAGGAGAGCAACCCCACCUUUGUUUUCUUUUUUAUCCUUUCUGGCUUCCACAUAUGAGAGAAAAUAUAUGACCCGUGACCUUCUGAGUUUCACUUAUUUUGCUUAAUAUGAUGGUCUCUAGUUCCAUUGAUAUUCUUGAAAAUGCCAUAAUUUCAUUUUUAUUUGUGGCUGAAUAAAACUCCAUUGU
rnacentral:lncRNA from 1 species